rnacentral:rRNA from 1 species
CCCUUAGAUGUUCUGGGCUGCACGCGCGCUACACUGAUGCGCUCAACGAGUUUACGACCUUGCCCGGAAGGGUUGGGUAAUCUUUUUAAAACGCAUCGUGAUAGGGAUAGAUUAUUGCAAUUGUUAAUCUUGAACGAGGAAUUCCUAGUAAACGCGAGUCAUCAGCUCACAUUGAUUACGUCCCUGCCCUUUGUACACACCGCCCGUCGCACCUACCGAUUGAAUGGUUCGGUGAAGAUCUCGGACUUCGAUAUUUAUUCUUUAUUGAGUUUAUAUUGUGGGAAGUUAUCUAAACCUCAUCAUUUAGAGGAAGGUGAAGUCGUAACA